rnacentral:misc_RNA from 1 species
UGGGAGGCAGCGGUGCGGAUG